rnacentral:rRNA from 1 species
UCGAGCGAUGAAACACCUUCGGGUGUGAAUUAGCGGCGAACGGGUGAGGAACACGUGAAGAAUCUGCCUUCAACUCUGGGAUAACUCCGGGAAACCGGGGCUAAUACCGGAUAUGAGCCUUGAUCGCAUGAUCGGGGCUGGAAAGUUUUUCGGUUGAAGAUGACUUCGCGGCCUAUCAGCUUGUUGGUGAGGUAAUGGCUCACCAAGGCGACGACGGGUAGCCGGCCUGAGAGGGCGACCGGCCACACUGGGACUGAGACACGGCCCAGACUCCUACGGGAGGCAGCAGUGGGGAAUAUUGGGCAAUGGAGGAAACUCUGACCCAGCGACGCCGCGUGAGGGAUGAAGGCCUUCGGGUUGUAAACCUCUUUCAGUAGGGAAGAAGCGAAAGUGACGGUACCUACAGAAGAAGCACCGGCUAACUAUGUGCCAGCAGCCGCGGUAAUACAUAGGGUGCAAGCGUUGUCCGGAAUUAUUGGGCGUAAAGAGCUCGUAGGUGGUUCGAUACGUCGGAUGUGAAAAUCAGGGGCUCAACCCCUGACCUGCAUCCGAUACGGUCGAGCUGGAGUUUGGUAGGGGAGACUGGAAUUCCUGGUGUAGCGGUGGAAUGCGCAGAUAUCAGGAGGAACACCGAUGGCGAAGGCAGGUCUCUGGGCCAAUACUGACACUGAGGAGCGAAAGCGUGGGGAGCGAACAGGAUUAGAUACCCUGGUAGUCCACGCCGUAAACGGUGGGCGCUAGUUGUGCGAACCUUCCACGGUUUGUGCGACGCAGCUAACGCAUUAAGCG